rnacentral:rRNA from 1 species
UACGUAGGGUGCAAGCGUUGUCCGGAAUUAUUGGGCGUAAAGAGCUCGUAGGCGGUCUGUCGCGUCGGAUGUGAAAACUCGGGGCUCAACCCCGGGCCUGCAUUCGAUACGGGCAGACUAGAGUACGGCAGGGGAGACUGGAAUUCCUGGUGUAGCGGUGAAAUGCGCAGAUAUCAGGAGGAACACCGGUGGCGAAGGCGGGUCUCUGGGCCGACACUGACACUGAGAGACGAAAGCUAGGGGAGCGAAUGGG